AGAGUUUGAUCCUGGCUCAGAACGAACGUUGGCGGCGUGGAUUAGGCAUGCAAGUCGAACGAAUCCCACGGGGGGUAACCCUCGUGGGGGAAGUGGCGAAAGGGGCAGUAAGGCGUGGGUAACCUGCCCCCGGGACGGGGAUAGCCCUCCUAACGGAGGGGUAAUACCCGGCGAUCUGGCUGAGAGGCAUCUUUUCGGCCAGGAAAAGAAUCUCGCCUGGGGAGGGGCUCACGUGGUAUUACCUGGUUGGCGGGGUAACGGCCCACCAAGGGGAAGAUGCCUAGCGGGUGUGAGAGCACGACCCGCGCCACUGGCACUGGGACACUGGCCAGACUCCUACGGGAGGCUGCAGUCGAGGAUCUUCGGCAAUGGGCGCAAGCCUGACCGAGCGACGCCGCGUGUGCGAUGAAGGCCUUCGGGUUGUAAAGCACUGUCGAGGGGGAGGAAGCCCGCAAGGGUUGACCUAUCCCUGGAGGAAGCACGGGCUAAGUUCGUGCCAGCAGCCGCGGUAGGACGAACCGUGCGAACGUUGUUCGGAUUCACUGGGCUUAAAGGGCGCGUAGGCGGGCACGCCAGUCGGUGGUGAAAUCCCCCAGCCCAACUGGGGAACGGCCUCCGAUACUGCGUGCCUCGAGGGGGGUAGGGGUCGACGGAACUUCCGGUGGAGCGGUGAAAUGCGUAGAUAUCGGAAGGAACGCCGGUGGCGAAAGCGGUCGACUGGACCCCUUCUGACGCUGAGGCGCGAAAGCCAGGGGAGCAAACGGGAUUAGAUACCCCGGUAGUCCUGGCCCUAAACGAUGGGUACUAGGUUGUGGACUUGACAUGGGUUCACAGCCGAAGCAAAAGUGCUAAGUACCCCGCCUGGGGAGUAUGGUCGCAAGGCUGAAACUCAAAUGAAUUGACGG
rnacentral:rRNA from 1 species